rnacentral:rRNA from 1 species
AUCAAGAACGAAAGUUAGAGGUUCGAAGGCGAUCAGAUACCGCCCUAGUUCUAACCAUAAACGAUGCCAGCCAGCGAUCCGCCGAUGUUCCUCCGAUGACUCGGCGGGGAGCUUUCCCCGGGAAACCAAAGCUUUUGGGUUCCGGGGGAAGUAUGGUUGCAAAGCUGAAACUUAAAGGAAUUGACGGAAGGGCACCACCAGGAGUGGAGCCUGCGGCUUAAUUUGACUCAACACGGGAAACCUCA